rnacentral:rRNA from 1 species
CAAUAGCGUAUAUUAAAGUUGUUGCGGUUAAAAAGCUCGUAGUUGGAUUUCUGCUGAGAACGACCGGUCCGCCCUUUGGGUGUGUAUCUGGCUCUUUCUUGGCAUCUUCUUGGUGAACGUUGCUGCACUUGACUGUGUGGAGCGCUACCCAGGACUUUUACUUUGAGGAAAUUAGAGUGUUUCAAGCAGGCAUACGCCUUGAAUACAUUAGCAUGGAAUAAUAAGAUAGGACCUCGGUUCUAUUUUGUUGGUUUCUAGAGCUGAGGUAAUGAUUAAUAGGGAUAGUUGGGGGCAUUCGUAUUUAACUGUCAGAGGUGAAAUUCUUGGAUUUGCUCAAGACGAACUACUGCGAAAGCAUUCACCAAGGAUGUUUUCAUUAA